AGCGAUCAUGCAAAGAAGUUGAGGCUUGGCACCAUGAAGAGAGCUGCAACUUGAAAGGGGGAGGGUCAGCUGGCAGGGGCAAGUCGGGGGAGGGCAUCUUUGCUCACCCUCACUACCAUAUGGCAGACAAGGGAGGUGUGGCCAGCUCACCAGCACCUCCACCAACAGGUUCAGCUCUACUGUGCUGCCCAGGUGAUGAGCAGGGCCUACUUUCCCGAGUGUUGCAACUGACACUUUAGGUCAACAAGACACAAAUGGUGCUCAGAGCCAGGAGAGACUUGCAUGUCAACAUAAAAGUCCCUCUCAGGAUUUUGAGGUACUUCCCAGCACCAUACAACGGGAACACCACAGAACAAAUUCUACACUGCAGAUACCUGAGCCUUGAGGGGAAAAGUGUGAUAAAAACAUCCCACUCAAGGCUGAGCAAUGGACCAACAAUAUAAAUCG